rnacentral:miRNA from 1 species
UAUGUGUGUGUAUGUGUGUAUGUGUGUAUGUGUGUGUGUGUCUAUAUAUAUAUAUAUAUAUAGACACACACACACACACACACACACAUAUGUAUAUC